AUCACCUGUGUUUUUGCAACAGAUAACUUGAAUCCCCAUUUAUUUGCCCAUUUUUCCACAGCAGCUAUUGCAGCUUGCAUUUUCUUACUGACGUGCAACACAUUGCGGCCUCUUACCCACAGAGCCCCGUCAUCUGCGUACAAAGAUUUCCCUACGCUUUGUUCAACCUGAGAGAAGAUGUCAUUUAUCAUUAUGUUGAAUAACAAUGGGCUGCACACACUACCUUGCGGAGUUCCAUUUUCCACCUUAUAUACACUGGAGUAUUCUGUGCCAACUCUUACUUGUAUUUCCCUGUCAAAUAGAAAGCUCAUAACCCAAUUAUAUGUUCUACCACCAAUACCCAAUGACUUCAACUUAAUAAGUAACCCUUCUUUCCAGAGAAUAUCAUAUGCUUUUUCAACGUCAAAAAAUACAGCUAUCAGUAUUUCUUUGUUGGUCUGUGCUUUCCUGAUGUCUGAUUCUAAGCACAGUACUGAAUCCAUUGUAUUCCGACCUCUACGGAACCCACUCUGGUACGGGUACAGAAGAGCUUUACUCUCUAGGAAGUAUGUUAAACGCUCUGUGACCAUUCGUUCCAUAAUUUUGCAUAAGUGUGAGGUUAAUGCAAUAGGUCUAUAACUGGAAGGGUCUGACUGAUCUUUUCCUGGUUUUGGAAUGGGCACUAUUAUUGCUUGUUUCCAAGCUAAAGGAAGUUGGCCAACAUCCCAAACUUUAUUAAACAAACCCAACACCGUGUCUAGUGCACUAUCUGUCAUGUGUGCCAACAUUCCAUAACAUACAGCGUCCUUCCCUGGAGUGGUCUGACGAGCACUCGUAAUUGCUCUUCUUAGCUCAAACAUAUUAAACGGUAGAUCUAACGGAUCUCCUGACACCUC